UACGUAGGGUCCGAGCGUUGUCCGGAAUUAUUGGGCGUAAAGAGCUCGUAGGCGGUUUGUCGCGUCUGCUGUGAAAUCUGGAGGCUCAACCUCCAGCCUGCAGUGGGUACGGGCAGACUAGAGUGCGGUAGGGGAGAAUGGAAUUCCUGGUGUAGCGGUGGAAUGCGCAGAUAUCAGGAGGAACACCGAUGGCGAAGGCAGUUCUCUGGGCCGUAACUGACGCUGAGGAGCGAGAGCGUGGGGAGCGAACAGG
rnacentral:rRNA from 1 species